rnacentral:lncRNA from 1 species
UCUCUGAUACAAAACGAAUAUUAUGGCUACCAACUACGUAUGGUCGUAUUAUACAAAAUACGAUGCAGUUGCAAAGUGCAAUUUUUGUGAGAAAGAUUAUUCCCUUAAGUUAAAGGAUGGCAAUAUGAGGAAACACAUAUCCAAAAAACAUAGUGGUGUAACUCAAAACGCCUAUAAAGUAAUACAAGGCAAUAAAUUACAAUGUAAGAAAUGUGAGGCAACAUAUAAGAAACGUUACAAAAUAAUACCCAAAAUGAAAUUACAUUUACGUACUAAACAUGGAAUUCAUGAAUAUAAAGCACAAGAACAUAAAAACUGGAUAAUAGAAUAUAGUAGAAAUAAUGAAAAUAUUAUUACACUAAAUCUUGAUAAAACAAUAACGUGCCGACGUUGCAAUAAAGUUUUUCCAAAGAAUUUUGUCAAAUUAAUGAAACAUUUGUACAAUGAUCAUCAAGUCGAGGAGAUACCUGAGGAAUUCAAAUAAACGGGGCAAAAUGCUAUAGACAUUCCUAAAAGCAGCUACAAACAACUAAUACGCAAUUUUUAUCAAUUUGGCAAUGUAAAUGACUGUACAUCACUAUAUCAUGGAGAUUCUGUGUUAAACAGCUCUCAGUCAACGGAUUUUGAUAACAUUGCUGAAUAUGAUGACCCUUCCGAUCUCGAAGAUAUAUAUAAAGAUAUUGAAUUAUUGAUCAGUUCUCAGUCAACGGAUUUUGAUAAAAUUGCUGAAUAUGAUGGUCCUACUGAACUCGAAAAUGUAUUUAAAAGUAAGGAAAUAGAAAAAUUUUACGCUUUGAUGAAUAAUAAUUUGCUUUUUGACGUAACAUUAAGUAAUA